rnacentral:rRNA from 1 species
CUACGGAGGGUGCAAGCGUUACUCGGAAUCACUGGGCGUAAAGGACGCGUAGGCGGCCUCAUAAGUCAGGUGUGAAAGCCCACGGCUCAACCGUGGAACUGCACUUGAAACUGUGAUGCUAGAGUCUGGGAGAGGCAGAUGGAAUUGGUGGUGUAGGGGUAAAAUCCGUAGAGAUCACCAGGAAUACCGAUGGCGAAGGCGAUCUGCUGGAACAGUACUGACGCUGAGGCGUGAAAGCGUGGGGAGCAAACAGGAUUAGAUACCCUAGUAGUCC